UACGUAGGGUGCAAGCGUUGUCCGGAAUUAUUGGGCGUAAAGAGCUCGUAGGCGGUUUGUCGCGUCGAAUGUGAAAACCCGGGGCUCAACUCCGGGCCUGCAUUCGAUACGGGCAGACUAGAGUUCGGUAGGGGAGACUGGAAUUCCUGGUGUAGCGGUGAAAUGCGCAGAUAUCAGGAGGAACACCGGUGGCGAAGGCAGGUCUCUGGGCCACUACUGACGCUGAGAAGCGAAAGCAUGGGGAGCGAACAGG
rnacentral:rRNA from 1 species